GCUUAGGUUAAGAAAUGGUUGUCGACCAUUCCCUGGGCCUGUCCUAGUGCCCCAUGCCCCAAACUGUGGCUCUGAGCCAUUGCCUGGCCUUGAUGUCCACAGGCCGCUGGCACUGAAGUGGGUUGCACAGGG
rnacentral:snoRNA from 1 species